UGGGCACUUGAACCCGGAAAAUCGAACCCGACCCGGACCCGUCCCGAAAAUUGCCGGGACGGGACGGUUUCAAAACUUAAUUUUUCACUGUUUGGGCCCGUCCCGUCCCGUCCCGUUUUAACGGGACGGGCUUCGGUUUGGGUCGCUGGAAUCCCGCAAAGACCCGUCCCGUCCCGAAGUAUUAAAACUCAUUUUGUUUAUUUGUUUUUUAGUUUGACACUUUGACGGUUUGACCUAGUAGAUAACUCUCGAGUCUCGACCUCUUGUUCAUUCCUCUCGACCUCUCGUUCUAUCGUUCACAAUCCACAAGCCAGUGAGACACCGAUCAACAAUAACCGAGUGAGACACCGAUCAAUUCACCUCCAUCAAGGCACAAGACCGAGUGAUCUGCAAUUCACCUCUAUCAAUUCAGCUCAUAAGCAUCACCGACACCGAGAGUCUGAGAGUGAAGCUGUGGUGGCGGACGCGAUAUGAGACAGUGAGACACCGAUCGAUUGCAAUUUCCCAAAGUUCCUGGUCAUCAAUUUCAGUUCACCGAUCGAAUUUCUGGGUUCGAUUGCUGUCCAGCCUCUCCUCCUUUGCUCUCUUCCAUAUUCUGGCCUUCUGGGUUCGAUUCUUCAACCUUCAGUCGAAGUCUUGCUUGGACGCUUGGUCAUAACUGAAACCAAUGAAUCAUGGGCUAAACUCGUCAAGAGAUCAAUUCCUGAUGGAUGGGUGGUGUGCCUAAACCGUAGUGAUGUAGUUUCAAAGCAAUUGCUGGGCUUUAUCUAAUGGAGAAUUUUUUAUAGUCCACAGGUGGAUUCCCCUUCUGUUCCUCUCCGUCUCUCUCACUCAUUCAGAAGGCUUCUCAUGGAAUGAAAAUUUGAUUGUGUGAGACCAUGAAAUUGGAUGAAAUGUGGCAAUUGUUUAUUUUAUCUGAUACUGACUUAAUCAUGAAGAAGAAUACUUGAGAGUC